CACUAUAACUACUGUAGGCAGACACACUUCAGAAGUGGAUCUUCAUGUGCCUGGCAAUGUCUCUCUUUGUCUUAAAGAGCUUUCCACAAACAUCACAUUUGAACUCUCUAAGGCCAUAGUGCCUGAAGACAUGUCGAUUGAGUGCCUGCUUCACACUGAACCUCUUCCCACACUCUUCACACUCAUUACUUUUUACACCAGUGUGUGUAAGGGUGUGUGUAUCAAGGUGACUCUUCCGGAAGAAUUUUUUCCCACAUUCCUUACAUUCAUAGUUCUUCACACCAGUGUGUGUAAGGGUGUGUGUAUCAAGGUUACCCUUCAGGGUGAAUAGUUUCCCACAUUCCUUACAUUCAUAGUUCUUCACACCAGUGUGUGUAAGGGUGUGUCUAUCAAGGUGACUCUUCAGGAUGAAUUUUUUCCCACAUUCCUUACAUUCAUAGUUCUUCACACCAGUGUGUGUAAGGGUGUGUCUAUCAAGGGUACUCUUCUGGAUGAAUUUUUUCCCACAUUCCUUACAUUCAUAGUUCUUCACACCAGUGUGUGUAAGGGUGUGUAUCAAGGUGACUCUUCAGGAUGAAUUUUUUCCCACAUUCCUUACAUUCAUAGUUCUUCACACCAGUGUGUGUAAGGGUGUGUCUAUCAAGGGUACUCUUCUGGAUGAAUUUUUUCCCACAUUCCUUACAUUCAUAGUUCUUCACACCAGUGUGUGUAAGGGUGUGUCUAUCAAGGGUACUCUUCUGGAUGAAUUUUUUCCCACAUUCCUUACAUUCAUAGUUCUUCACACCAGUGUGUGUAAGGGUGUGAUAUCUGAGGCCUUGCCUUGUGGUGAAUUCUUUUCCACAUUCCAGACACAUAAACUUCCUCUCUCCUUUGUUGCUGGAGUUGCCAGCAGCCAGUUGCUUCAUCUGGUGACCACUGACCCUCCUGCCCCCUGCAGCAGUCUGCUCCUGCUUGUCCUGGCCACUCAUGCUGCUGUCCAGCCCUGCAGG